GUGAGAGGACGCACGAAUCGGGCAGGAGUUGCCCCCCCACACCAACGGGCGCCCACCCGCCUGCCUAUCCCGCCCCCCGCCGCCCCUUCCUCUCCGCUCCCCAACUAGGGCUGCGAUGAGAGGGCGUAGGGGGCGGGCGGCGGCGGCGGUGGCGCGCGGAGGAGGAAAAGGAGAGCAAGGAUGGGACUAUCCCUGGAGAGAAGCCCGCUCCAGCUGCAGCCGCAAGUCCCCUCCUUCCUUCCCGCUCCGCAAACGUGGAGAUGGCGGCAGCAGCGGCGAAAGGAAGCGCUGGUUCUCCAGCGCCACUCGGCGUUCCUAACCGCCCGCCACUAGCAGGAGGAGACGACGGCGGCGGCGCGGCUGCCGCUGGGUCAAUAGGCGCCCGCUGCCCGAGAGCUGGAGCGACGGCCGGCCCCGCCCCUCACCGACGCGCCGGGAUGAGGAGGCGGGGCCACCAGCGCCCAAUCACAGCGCGCCUCCCGCCGGCCCCGCCCCGCGUCUGCCGCCCGGCGCCCAGGCGGUGGGGACACCUCAGGCAGCUCUCGUCCCCGGGAGGCAGCUCUGCUGGGGUUCCAGCCCUCGGAGGCUUUCAGGUGCCCGCCGCCCACCUUCCGCAGGGGCUGAAAUUCCUCCCCGGCCCCCUUUCGCUGUUCAGGCUUCCCGUCCUUGAGGACCCGGUCUUGGCGUGCCUGGGACGGGAACUCUGGAGCUGUAGGAAGAGAAGAGAAAUGAGUUUUAAAUUUUGUUCAGACUCAUCGUUUCUGCCGUUGCUUUUGGUGGGGCUUCCUGGUGAAACCUGAGGGAGAGCAGGCUGCCCAAGCACGCUCCAGGCAGGUGUGGACCUCUGGCCACAGAAUCUGUGAGGGGAACCUGGGAAGUGACGCCUAGGCCAGUUAGUUAUUGCCUUCCACUCCAAAUUCACCCUCUUUUGACUGUGCUGUGAAAAGGCAUCUGGGCCUUUUAAAGUGAAGGAGACAGCUGUCUAUGGCUUGAGAGUCCAAGAAAAGUGGAUGUGAGGAUGAUCCAGGAAGGCCUCAUUCACCAGCAUGCAUCUUAUGUAUUCUGCUUGCAUCUAUGAAACAGUAAUAGGCCCCAGACUAUUCACAGAUCCUGAAACUACUCACCUACCUAAGAGAAUCUUGACAUUGCCGUGCACAGGAUGAGUCAAGUAACAUAAGAAACUGCUAAGAAGAAAGGGAAGAUUUGGACCUGGA